rnacentral:lncRNA from 10 species
UCCUGAGUAGCUGGGACUAGAGGUGCCCGUCACCACGCCCGGCUAAUUUUCAUAUAUUUAGUAGAGACGUGGUUUCACCACGUUGGCCGGAUGGUCGCGAUCUCCUGACCUCGUGAUCCGCCCGCGUCAGCCUCCCAAAAUGCUGGGAUUGCAGGCGUGAGCCACCGCGCCCGGCCUACACUUUCUUACACCCACUCGGAGUUCGUCUGUGGAGAGCAGCCCCUGACUGAACUAAUGCGGCAGAAAUGAAGACUCAAUUUAUAUCAGCCUACAUUGCUGAGGAGUGUGGGAGAGAAUAUGACAGCCACACACUUCAAAGGUGGAAAAUAGAGGGACAAGUGUUAGUUUACUUGCCAGGAGAGGUCUGAAGCCUACUUUGGAAUGCAGGGAAGCAGAUGCCAAGGGGAUAGGAGGGAAGAACACUUGUGAAAGAUGAAGGGGAAAAGAAGCAUGCUUCUGUGGAAAACACUUUCAAGUUCAUUAGAUCAAACUUGUUGAGAAUGGCUGACAUCUGAGAAUCAAACCAACACUCCUCAGCAUUGAGUCAAAAAGUCACAGAAGGCAAGAGAUCCUUAUCCUUCAAGGCAAGAGAGAUGGAGCUAUUGGAAUAUUCUUUUUCCUUGAUCAAAAUAUCCUUCAUCGGGGAAAUAUUCUCUUGCAAAAAUACCACAGCUGUCUGUUACCAAAAACUUACAGAAGGCUUACUUCCUCAUCUAAACUUUGCAGAAAUAUUCCACCUCACAAUUGCUCUUCCCUGACAUAUUACAUCAUUUCACACUACAAGUGGUCCAUUCAACACUGGAGAAUGUGAAAACUAUAGCAAAUGUACUGCCGGCUGUAUAAUAUAAUUCAUCUUUGUAGAAUGAAUGCCUCAUUGGAAGAACCAAUAGUACAUCUCUACUACAGAAAUCUCCAGUGGAGGCAAAGGGGUAUGCAAAUUACUUUAUUCAAAAUUUCUAUCUAAAUAUGUUUACCCUUUAUGUCAGAAUUCCUAGCAUUGGGUAAAGAAAUCGAAGUUAGCAAGUGAGAAAAGUGAGGACUAGAUCAAUUGUGUUAUUAUCUGUCCAAAAUGAACGUAAUCUCUACUUUAGUGAUGCUAGAAGACAGGAAAGAACAAUGUACUGAAAAAUGCCAAAGCAUGAACAUAAAAUACCUUAUUCACAUUUAUGGAAUUUGGAAGUAAAAUUAUGUUUAUUUUAUUUUGCAUAAAAGGAUUUUAUGAUUACAAACGGGGAGUUUCCUUUUGGAAUUCAUAGGGGAAAAAUCCAUUCUGUUUGAGUAACAAUGAGAACUAAAACUUCUUGCUGGCUUGCUUCGCACACCCCACCAACCCCAUCAAAUUAGUAAUUAAUCAAAAUGUAUUGGUUU